AGGACCACUCUGAGAGAGGACAGGAGAGAGGAAGGCAGCCCCAGAAGCAAGAGCCUAUUCUUCUGACCCUAAACUGAGAUAUGCUGAGUAACUGCAAAAGGUAACUUGAGAACGGCUGCUCCUGGCUAUUAAGGUCAUAGUCCAGCAAACCCUUAACACGUGCCCCAAAAAAGACCUUAAGACCAACUUCCCAGGGAUUCCGGGACCACCUCACCACUUGCCCGAGAGGAGAACACCCAAACUGAACCCUCCAUCUCCAGGCACAUGUUAAACUACAUUUUCCAGCCCUCUUGCUUUGAGGCUGGCCAUGUCACUGAGUUCUGGCAAUGAAACGGGCACAGAAGUGAUUUUUGUCACUUUCAGGCCUGAUCCAUAAAAACCUCGAUCCGUCAUCCCCUUUUCCAUCAUCCCUAUCUGGAUGACCCAGGGCACCACGAAGCCAUGUGAUGAAGAUGGGGAGAGCUUGGUCCCUGAAUGAUUACAUGGAGCAGAGCACCCUUCACCCUGCCCGCUGCCACCUACACUGAACUAUGACUUGGAUGAAAUAAACCUUCCCUGUGUUAAUCCGGUGAGAGUUUAGCUUAUCCUGACUAACAGCACCAUGAAGGUCUGAAGCCAAGUCCAUCAAACUCUGAAGACCAUCCUCUCUCAUGAAGCCAUAUUGCCACACAAUAUAGCAGAAAUAUAAAAGUCAAACUAUAAAAUAUUAUCUAAUUCCGCAGCUCACCUC